rnacentral:rRNA from 1 species
GUGCAGCAGGCGCGAAAACUUUACAAUGCUGGCAACAGCGAUAAGGGGACCUCGAGUGCCAGGAUACAAUCUUGGCUGUCGUAAUGCCUAAAAAGCAUUGCAUAGCAAGGGCCGGGCAAGACCGGUGCCAGCCGCCGCGGUAACACCGGCGGCUCGAGUGGUAACCGCUAUUAUUGGGUCUAAAGGGUCUGUAGCCGGCCGGAUAAGUCUUUUGGGAAAUCCAGCUGCUCAACAGUUGGGCUUUCAGAAGAUACUGUUCGGCUCGAGACCGGGAGAGGUGAGAGGUACUUCAGGGGUAGGG